UACGUAGGGGGCGAGCGUUAUCCGGAUUUACUGGGCGUAAAGCGCGUUAAGGCGGCCGGCAAAGUUGAGGGUGAAAUUUCGGGGCUCAACCCCGAAACUGCCCACAAUACUGGUCGGCUAGAGUGCGAGAGAGGAAGGUGGAAUUCCCGGUGUAGUAGUGAAAUGCGUAGAUAUCGGGAGGAACACCAGUGGCGAAGGCGGCCUUCUGGCUCGUAACUGACGCUGUAGCGCGAAAGCUAGGGGAGCAAACAGG
rnacentral:rRNA from 1 species